rnacentral:rRNA from 1 species
ACGAACGCUGGCGGCGUGCUUAACCCAUGCAAGUCGAACGAUGAAGAAGAGAAACGCGAACUUCGGUUCAAAUUUCACUUCGGAUUAGUGGCAGACGGGUGAGUAACGCGUGAGCAACCUACCUCUUACAAAGGGAUAGCCUCGGGAAACCGUGAUUAAUACCAUAUGACACAUUCAUAAGGCAUCUUAAGAAUGUUAAAGCUACGGCGGUAAGAGAUGGGCUCGCGUCCCAUUAGCUAGUUGGUGAGGUAACGGCCCACCAAGGCGACGAUGGGUAACCGGCCUGAGAGGGUGAACGGUCACAUUGGAACUGAGACACGGUCCAAACUCCUACGGGAGGCAGCAGUGGGGAAUAUUGCACAAUGGAGGGAACUCUGAUGCAGCGACGCCGCGUGAGCGAUGAAGGAAUUCGUUUCGUAAAGCUCUGUUCUAUGGGAAGAAAAGGACUGUACCAUAGGAGAAAGCCCCGGCUAAAUACGUG